UCCUGGCUCAGAUUGAACGCUGGCGGGAUGCUUUACAUGCAAGUCGAACGGCAAGCACGGACUUCGGUCUGGUGGCGAGUGGCGAACUUGGGUGAGUAAUGUAUCGGAACAGUGCCUAGUAGCGGGGGAUAACUACGCGGCGUAGCUAAUACCGCAUACGCCCUUCGGGGAAAGCAGGGGACCUUCGGGCCUCGCACUAUUGUUGGCGAUAUCGGAUUAGCUAGUUGGUGGGGUAACGGCUCCGCAAGGCGACGAUCCGUAGCUGGUUUGAGAGGACGACCAGCCACCACUGGGACUGAGACACGGCCCAGACUCCUACGGGAGGCAGCAGUGAAAUUUUGGACAAUGGAAACCUGAUCAGCCAUCCCGUGUGCGAUGAAGGCCUUCGGGUUGUAAAGCACUUUUUGGCAGGAAAACAGCCUGGGAUAAUACCCGUGCAACUGACGAGUACCUGCAGAAUAAGCUGCCGGCUAACUACGUGCCAGCAGCCGCCGAUGACACGUAGGUGCAAGCGUUAAUCAGAUUACUGGGCGUAAAGCGUGCAGGCGGUUCGGAAGAAAGAUGUGAAAUCUGAGCUUAACUUUGGAACUGCAUUUUUAACUACCGAGCUAGAGUGUGUCAGAGGAGGUGGAAUUCCGCGUAUAGCAGUGAAAUGCGUAGAUAUGCGGAGAGGAACUUUACCGAUAGCGAGGCAGCCUCCUGGGAUAACACUGACAUCAUGCGAAAGCGUGGGGGCAAACAGGAUUGAAUGCCUGGUAGUCCACGCCCUAAACGUGUCAACUGGCUAUUUUGGGAGGCAUUCCGGGCCUUGGUGGCGCAGCUAACGCGUGAGAUUGACCGCCUGGGGAAAUUACAGUCGCAAGAUUAAAACUCAAAGGAAUUGACGGGGACCCGCACGACCGGUGGAUGAUGUGGAUUAAUUCGAUGCAACGCGAAAACCUUACCUACCCUUGACAUGUCUGGAAUCGAAGAGAUUUGGGAGUGCUCAUAGAGAACCGGAACACAGGUGCUGCAUGGCUGUCGUCAGCUCGUGUCGUGGAGAUGUUAGGUUAAGUCCCGCAACAGGCGCAACCCUUGUCAUUAGUUGCUACGAAAGGGCACUCUAAUGAGACUGCCAGUGACAAACCGGAGGAAGGUGGGGAUGGCCGUCAAGUCCUCAUGGCCCUUAUGGGUAGGGCUUCACACGUCAUACAAUGGUCGGGACAGAGGGUCGCCAACCCGCGAGGGGAGCCAAUCCCAGAAACCCGAUCGUAGUCCGGAUCGCAGUCUGCAACUCGACUGCAUGAAGUCAGAAUCGCUAGUAAUCGCGGAUCAGCAUGUCAUGAUGGGAAUACAUUCCCGGGUCUUGUACACCGCCCGUCACACAUGGGAUGGGUUUUGCAAGUAGUUAGCUUUAACCGUAAGGGCGAUUACCACGGUAAGUUCGCUGGCUAGGGUGAAGUCGUAACAAGGUAA
rnacentral:rRNA from 1 species